UUAGGAAUCAUUUGCAAUGCGCGCAAGCGUGACAAUUUGAGCCAGAGUGUUCCCCAUAGAGGAACUUUUGCCAAAUGUAAAAAGUUUAGGCGAAUAAGGACUGGGCAAGACUAGUGCCAGCCGCCGCGGUAAUACUAGCUGUCCGAGUCGCAGCCACAAUUAUUGGGUCUAAACAUCCGUAGCUUGCUUGAUAAGUUUCUUGUGAAAUCCUGUCUCUCAAGGGCAGGGCGUGCAAGAAGUACUGUUGAGCUAGAGACUGGGAGACGUGAGAAGUACGUUUAAAGUAGUGGUAAAAUACGUUAAUCUUAAGCGGACUAACAAUAGCGAAGGCAUCUCACGAGAACAGUUCUGACAGUAAGGGAUGAAGGCUAGGAGCGCAAAAUGGAUUAGAUACCCAAGUAGUCCCUGAGCGGGCUGGCAAGGCGCAU
rnacentral:rRNA from 1 species